CCUUGGUCAAGCUGAGACUUGCUUUUAACAGCUUGCUGACUAGGCUGUCUUUAACAAUAAGCCGUAGUGGUUUCAGGCACUUUACUGGUUUGCCAAAGUCUCCCUGUACACAGGCACAUGGUGCACACGAAUACACAUGAUGGGAUACAGGUAGGGACCACACAUCUCAAAGAGCCUCCAGUUACAAAGGUAAGUAACUUCCUCUUUUCUUGCCAUAUCUUCUUGUGAAUGAACAUAAGACUGUAAUUCUUUGCACCUUAUAAAUCUGAUUUUAGUGAGGUCUCAUAUAUCUAUCCUCAGGAAGGUCAAAUAUCUUUUCUUCUGCUUCCUCCUAGCUUUACAGAUUGGGGUAACUGAGGCACAUUGAAGAUAAGUGGUGUGCCCCAAGUUACAGAGAAUAUUUUCAGCAGAGCUGGGAGCGAAGUCCUGAUUAUUUUUUCACGAUUGAAUCAUGUCUUUUUGAUCAAAUCUGCCGAAGGCUUCUUCUCACUUGUGAAUGUUGAUUAUUUUAAAAGAGUGAUAGUCCCAUCUUUAAAUUACUCCUUGUUUUUGCCCUGAAUUCCAGUAUAUAUAUCCCUGUAGUCUAUUUCAGACAUACAGUAAUGAAAAUUAAUAUACUAUCUUACUUUUACUUUUUUAGGAAACCCGGUUGGAUGAUCUCCAUCAUGUUGCAGUAGCUCUGGGGAAACCAGAAGUAUUUGUACAGAAGGAUUCUAACGUUCUUUCUAAAGACCUGACCCAGCCACAAUUCCAGGUAUUGACUUUUGAUGAUUUAGUUGCUGCCGGUGUUCCUAUAGCACCUGAAGACCCUGCAUACUGGGAUAACUUUUGUUCCAAGCAGGAAUGCCCAGCACGCCAGAGUACUCAUUCAAGAUAACUGUGUUUCCAAGAAAAGAAGCUGAAAUCUUUCAAAGACCACUCAUUGUUCCUUUGCAAAGCUUAAUUUGAGUGUGUGUGUACAUUUCUCCUUUUAGACCAAUAUUCGGUUUUCCAGCCUCACAAAGCUGCCACCUUUUACCCUCUUUCCCCUAUGCUGAGAUCAUUUCAGGCUAAAGAAACUGUGAAAUAAAAGAUGUAAAUUGAU